UUUCGGUGCCAUAUUGAAAUUAGCUUGAAUUCUUCAUAACCUCUGAAUAGUGGGUGGCCCAACAGGUCACGGAUGGUCUAGUAUUAUUUUAAACUGAAA